AUCCAUAUAAUAAAACUGUUUGUUGGAUUUUUGAGUGUUGCUGUUAAGGGAGAGAGUGAAUAUUUUGUAUAAACUAUUCUAUGAGCAUAUAAGCAGUUUGACAUUGCCAAUUAAAUUCUUUUGUUAUAUGAUUAGGCCGAAGACAAUAGACAAAGCAAAACAAAACAAAAAAAAAAACAAAACAAAACAAAACAUCCAAGCAAACUUGAAUAUUGACCUCUGACGCAUAACUGCCAGUGACAAACCUGUCAGUUAAAAACCGGAUACUACCACUCGAACAAAACCAACACAGCAUUGCUCCGUUGUUGCUGUAGGUGUGUCAGGUAUUGAUGUCAACUGCAUUGGCGUUUAUCAUUUCCUGCUCAAAAUCAAAUCCAAACAUUGGCUGAAAACAUUUUUUUACAGAUGUUACCUAAACGCAUCACAAGCCUCCGCCGGGUGAGGACACCGCGGCAAAUGCCCCCGCGUUCCCUUCGUUCGACCCAGACACAACUUAGACACAAGAAGCAAAGAUUACUCUUUCUGUUGGACUCUUACUCACCUGGAAGGCGAACUGUGACGUGGCAUCUCAGGUGCAGGCAGGUCUCGUCCUCCUCCCUGCUCCACAGUGUGUCUUGGCCCGGCAGGAGCGGCCGGCCUCCAGGACCCCUCUCGACUCGCUCCCAGAAGACCCCUGGCUCCGCAGAAACAGGAAACGAAAUCCCAAGCACAGUCGUGAGCGGAGCGUGAAGACGUUUGUACGGUAAACCUGGACUGUGUGGACACACAAAGCCUGUAGCAACAUGGACGAGUUGGUGGCGGCCAAAUGCUCGCAGAUCGAUACUUUUUCAUGAUGGUUCCACUGAGUGACUACCCUGUCCUCUGAGCUCUUGACCCAAACAUGAAAGCGACACGCUCUUAAAGACAAUGACGUCUCAGUGAUGGCGGUGCUUAAAGAAAAAAAGAAAAGGCUUGUGUGUCUGUCCAGAAAGCAGCCGGGGCCGCUCGGUCCCUGGGGACGGGCAGGCGAAAGCCAGACGAGCGGCUGUAACUCAAAGAAAUUGUCAGAAAAUGCAGCGGAUGAUGGACUUUGUCAAUGAUCAUUUUUCUAAUGCAUAUAUAUGUUUUAAAGGCUUCUGAGGCGGCCAAUCUCAUAAAUGAGCAAUAUUUAAAAGCGCAGGGCAGCGAGACUUGGGCUGUGAUGAGAUAUUGGUAAGCCCGUGUGGAAAGGUUAAUGUUACCCACAGAACGUGCUAAUGGUUCGGGUUUGACAAUGGCCCGUGGGAGUGUGGCGAAGACCUCACAGAAUCUAACUCAUUGACACAUAAAUUGUACAUUUUCAACAAUUUCAUUAUCAUCCACGCCAUCUUACUCUGGCAUAUAUCAACAGGGCUGACGUGGAUGGUUUUAUUUUUCUUGGUUUUCCCCUUAACUCACGGGCCUGAGAGGAUAUUGAUCUUUCAUCUUUGCAGUGGAGGAAUCACGUUAUUGCUGAUGGAGAAUAAAGUGCCACAGCCAUAUGGAAAUGAAAGCA
rnacentral:lncRNA from 1 species